rnacentral:rRNA from 1 species
AACAUACCGAAAGGUAUGCUAAUACGAGAUAAUAUGCUUUUAUCGCAUGGUAGAAGUAUCAAAGCUCCGGCGGUACAGGAUGGACCCGCGUCUGAUUAGCUAGUUGGUGAGGUAACGGCUCACCAAGGCGACGAUCAGUAGCCGACCUGAGAGGGUGAUCGGCCACAUUGGAACUGAGACACGGUCCAAACUCCUACGGGAGGCAGCAGUGGGGAAUAUUGCACAAGGGGCGAAAGCCUGAUGCAGCAACGCCGC